AAAUAUUGGGACAUAUAAAAAAAGACAACUCUGUUCCGCAGAGUAGCUGUUGACAUUAUAGUUGUGCAGGCACUUUGUUGACUUUAGAGAACCUCGGGCCAAUCGCACAUCCCUGUGGCGGCGACUUUGCAUUCGGAUGUCAUCCAUAUCAACUUUCGAUGCCAGUUUCUGCGCCUACCAUGGUGACCACGAGUAACAGGGAAUCCAGGUUCCAUUCCGUACAGGGAACCUGAGAAACGGCUACCACAUGCAAGAAAGGCAUCAGGCGCGCAAAUGACCCACUCCCGAUGAGGGUAGGUAGUGAU